AACCUGCGGAGGGAUCAUUACACAAUAAAAUACGAAGGCCGUUCGCGGCUGGACUAUUUAUUACCCUUGUCUUUUGCGCACUUGUUGUUUCCUGGGCGGGUUCGCUCGCCACCAGGACCACAAUAUAAACCUUUUUUAUGCAGUUGCAAUCAGCGUCAGUAUAACAAAUGUAAAUCAUUUACAACUUUCAACAACGGAUCUCUUGGUUCUGGCAUCGAUGAAGAACGCAGCGAAAUGCGAUACGUAGUGUGAAUUGCAGAAUUCAGUGAAUCAUCGAAUCUUUGAACGCACAUUGCGCCCUUUGGUAUUCCAAAGGGCAUGCCUGUUCGAGCGUCAUUUGUACCCUCAAGCUUUGCUUGGUGUUGGGCGUUUUUGUCUUUGGCCCGCCAAAGACUCGCCUUAAAAUGAUUGGCAGCCGGCCUACUGGUUUCGCAGCGCAGCACAUUUUUGCGCUUGCAAUCAGCAAAAGAGGACGGCAAUCCAUCAAGACUCCUUCUCACGUUUGACCUCGNAUCAGGUAGGGAUACCCGCUGAACUUAAGCAUAUCAAUA
rnacentral:rRNA from 1 species